rnacentral:rRNA from 1 species
UACGUAGGCAGCGAGCGUUGUUCGGAGUUACUGGGCGUAAAGCGCACGUAGGCGGCUUUGUAAGUUAGAGGUGAAAGCCCGGGGCUCAACUCCGGAAUUGCCUUUAAGACUGCAUCGCUAGAAUUGUGGAGAGGUGAGUGGAAUUCCGAGUGUAGAGGUGAAAUUCGUAGAUAUUCGGAAGAACACCAGUGGCGAAGGCGACUCACUGGACACAUAUUGACGCUGAGGUGCGAAAGCGUGGGGAGCAAACAGG